rnacentral:antisense_RNA from 1 species
GAACACAAAAUGGCGACACGUGGUUAGCAUUCGUCGCCAACGAGAAAUUGGGGUCGGCCCGAAAGCUCUAGAAUGCACCCCUAUUCCUCCCCGGGGCCAUUCCCGCUCAACGAGUUUUAUGACCUAAAAAACCCCACAGGCUGGUCUGAAGGUCGGAGGCCUAAUUUUAACGCGUUUUCCUCCCUUUAAUUUGAAACGGGAACGCGAAUAACUAAAAUAGGAAGACACUUAAAGAUGAAGUGCUUAAUUCAAGGUCACAGAAUGUCGGGGAUGGACCUCCAGAUUUCCUUACUGGUGAGACGUGGUCUUGUAACACAGUGGUUAAGAAUGUGACUUUGGAGCCAGCCUGCUAGGGGCUGAAUUCUGACUCAGCCAUUUAUUAACUGUGUGACCUUAGGUCAUAGAAUUUUCCACACUCCUUGACGGAGGUUCUUAACCCUUAUCCAUCAGCAUUCUCAGACAGCACCUCCGGUUAGGGACAGUAUCUGACCGUCCGACAUCCCUGCAGCCCCCAUGCUGUCACACAGACUCAGCCUCAGGUAGAUGGUUUCCGUAGAUGGUGGCUUUCUUUGGACCCUUGAUAUCAACCAGUUACUAUUUGGGGACCAGAUGUGCAGAGGUAAUGAAUACCAGGGAAUCAGGAAACCACUGGAUCAGUUCUUUGAGCCAUAGAACAACACUCAUCCCAGCAGCUGGGAAGCUAUCUGCAAAAGUCCAUCUGCAGAAAGGGCUUCCUGGUCUUGCGUGUGGCUGGGCCAUUUCUCUGGAUGCAGGUUUUUCAUUAUACAGUCUUCUCAAAGGACCACCUGCUCUCAACACCUUCUCGGUGACUCCAUUUCCCC